GAUGAACGCUGGCGGCGUGCCUAAUACAUGCAAGUCGAGCGAACAGACGAGGAGCUUGCUCCUCUGACGUUAGCGGCGGACGGGUGAGUAACACGUGGAUAACCUACCUAUAAGACUGGGAUAACUUCGGGAAACCGGAGCUAAUGCCGGAUAAUAUAUUGAACCGCAUGGUUCAAUAGUGAAAGACGGUUUUGCUGUCACUUAUAGAUGGAUCCGCGCCGCAUUAGCUAGUUGGUAAGGUAACGGCUUACCAAGGCGACGAUGCGUAGCCGACCUGAGGGGGUGAUCGGCCACACUGGAACUGAGACACGGUCCAGACUCCUACGGGAGGCAGCAGUAGGGAAUCUUCCGCAAUGGGCGAAAGCCUGACGGAGCAACGCCGCGUGAGUGAUGAAGGUCUUCGGAUCGUAAAACUCUGUUAUUAGGGAAGAACAAAUGUGUAAGUAACUAUGCACGUCUUGACGGUACCUAAUCAGAAAGCCACGGCUAACUACGUG
rnacentral:rRNA from 1 species